CAAAGCCUCCCUGAACAUCGUGAACUUUCUGGCCUCUUUGACCAGUGCUGGUCAUGUCUUUUUCCAAGCCUCCUUCAUCCCCAUUCCUGCUCUUAAACUAGACAAGCUAUGGAACCAUAUUGGAGAAAAUCAGCAGAUCAACAGAAUGCUGCUGGUGUGCUGGAGCUUUUGUUUGUGCCUGUGUGCCAGUGUAAACAUGAACAGCAUUUCAUUCACCCCACCAGUGCUCAUUAUAGGAAGCCAUUUCCGCAGCAUGGUAUCCCACAAUUCUGAGGAAAAGUUGAGUCCACUAUUACUUGAAUGAAACUGAGAAUAAAAGAACCCAUUCUUAGUAGAGAGAAAAUGUGUUCAUGCUCGAACUGAAGGAAAUCACCACAAAUAGGCCAUCUGAUAGGGAAAAAAGUUCCCUGAGGCUUGGAGAAAUGAAAUAAGUUAGCAUCACAAACUGAGAGAAGCUAUUCAUUUUGGCAGUGGCUCAAAUAUCCAUUUUAGUGGAAAAUAUUCUGUGGGAGUCAAAGGAAGGCUCAAUCCUGGACAAGAGUGAAGGGGAGGGAGAGUAGUCCAGAUCUCUCAAACAGAAGU